rnacentral:rRNA from 1 species
CUUCUGGAUGAGUUGCGAACGGGUGAGUAACGCGUAGGUAACCUGCCUGGUAGCGGGGGAUAACUAUUGGAAACGAUAGCUAAUACCGCAUAAUAGUAGAUGUUGCGUGACAUUUGCUUAAAAGGUGCAAUUGCAUCACUACCAGAUGGACCUGCGUUGUAUUAGCUAGUUGGUGGGGUAACGGCUCACCAAGGCGACGAUACAUAGCCGACCUGAGAGGGUGAUCGGCCACACUGGGACUGAGACACGGCCCAGACUCCUACGGGAGGCAGCAGUAGGGAAUCUUCGGCAAUGGGGGCAACCCUGACCGAGCAACGCCGCGUGAGUGAAGAAGGUUUUCGGAUCGUAAAGCUCUGUUGUAAGAGAAGAACGAGUGUGAGAGUGGAAAGUUCACACUGUGACGGUAACUUACCAGAAAGGGACGGCUAACUACGUGCCAGCAGCCGCGGUAAUACGUAGGUCCCGAGCGUUAUCCGGAUUUAUUGGGCGUAAAGCGAGCGCAGGCGGUUAGAUAAGUCUGAAGUUAAAGGCUGUGGCUUAACCAUAGUACGCUUUGGAAACUGUUUAACUUGAGUGCAAGAGGGGAGAGUGGAAUUCCAUGUGUAGCGGUGAUAUGCGUAGAUAUAUG